rnacentral:pre_miRNA from 1 species
UUAGCUCAUAUUUGUAUGGAGUGGGAUCGUUUGCGUACGUUUGCCGCUAGGGGCGCUGUUCCUACUGCAUACAAAAUUGGGUUA